AGAGACAAGAAAAGAAGAAGAAACAAAAGAAGAAUAAGAAAAAGAAGAAGAAGGAAACAUAAAUGUCCUUUUCCCCCCAAUUAGACUUUUGUGUAUCAUAAGUUGCACUUUUGUU
rnacentral:ribozyme from 14 species